GCAGAUCACCGAAGAGGCAGCAUGUAACUUGCCCAGCUGAAAAAGAAAUUGAAGAUAUAGUUGCUGAUUUCUUCACUCCACGUAAAGAAGACACCCGCUUGUUGAGAAUCAGUUCCAGUCUCCUGGAGCUCCAGAUCCAUCCAGAGGGCAUCCUGAACAAGGGGCAAAAUAAUGAGCAAAAGGACAGAACCAGAGGUGUGCAGAACACAUCAAGUUCCUGACCAGAUCCCAGGACAAGAGGUAAAAAUCCAGGUAAAACAGCCUUUUCAGGCUGUGGUUAAUGGUACUGGUUGCUCUUCCUGAGGACCCCAGGUUUGAUUCCUAGCACCACACAGAGAUUUACAACAGUCUGUAACUCAAGUUCCAGGGAGUCUGAUGCCCUCUUCUGGUCUCCAUGGGCACCAGGCACGCAGGCAAAAUACAGCCCUCUCCACCACUGCCAAAAAGAAAAAGGCGGGGAGGGGAGGGAGCAGAAACAGAAGGAGGAGUAGAAAAAGGAGAACAAUUUUUCCUAAUUUAGCCACCAUAUGCCAGCCUGCUGGAGAAGCUGUACCACAAAAUACAAAAGACCACGAUACCGACCUCAUCCUGCAUAGCAUCAGUGACUCCCGUAACUAAGUCUACGUAAGGUCAUCAUUGCGCAGGCGUGUAUGCCUUCCUGUGGUCAGAGAAUACAUGCUUUCAGCUAGGUGCAAAGGCACAGACUAUAUUCUCAGCACUUAGGACGGGAGGCAGGACUGUCACAAGUUCCAAGUAUGCCUAGGCCAAACAUGAGUUCCAGGCCAGCUCUUGCAGAGGACCCAGGCUCAAUUCCCAGCAUCCACAUGGGGGCUCACAACCAUCUCUAACUCCAAGUCCAGCCGCUCCAGUGCCGGCUUCUGAGAGCACCAGGCACACUGGUGGUGCACAGAGGGACAGGUAGGCAAAAAGACUCACAUAAAUAAAAUAAUAAAAUUAACUUUGAAGCAAACAAACAGCAGGCUUACUGGAGCAUGCCUGUCAUCCCAGCACAUCUGAAGUAGAGGAGGAGAGGACCAGAAACUCUCAAGGUCAUCUUUGGUUUUGGGACAAGUUCAAGGCUAAUUUCAGCUGUAUGAAAUGGUCUCCAAAAAAAAAAAAAUGGAGAGAGAACUGGCCAUAGAGCUCAAUGGUAAAGCACUUGUCUAGCCG